AACGAACGCUGGCGGCAUGCCUAACACAUGCAAGUCGAACGCCCCGCAAGGGGAGUGGCGCACGGGUGAGUAACGCGUGGGAACCUGCCCUGGAGUGGGGGAUAACCCGGCGAAAGCCGGGCUAAUACCGCAUACGACCUGAGGGUGAAAGAUUUAUCGCUCUAGGAGGGGCCCGCGUCGGAUUAGCUAGUUGGUGAGGUAACGGCUCACCAAGGCGAUGAUCCGUAGCUGGUCUGAGAGGAUGAUCAGCCACACUGGGACUGAGACACG
rnacentral:rRNA from 1 species